AGUACGGCGGAACACGAGAAAUUCCGUCGGAAUCCGCGGGGACCAUCCCGCAAGGCUAAAUACUCCCUAGUGACCGAUAGUGAACCAGUACCGUGAGGGAAAGGUGAAAAGCACCCCGGAAGGGGAGUGAAAUAGAUCCUGAAACCGUGUGCCUACAACAAGUCAAAGCUCGUUAAUGAGUGAUGGCGUGCCUUUUGUAGAAUGAACCGGCGAGUUACGAUUGCAUGCGAGGUUAAGUCGAAGAGACGGAGCCGCAGCGAAAGCGAGUCUGAAUAGGGCGAAUGAGUAUGUAGUCGUAGACCCGAAACCAUGUGAUCUACCCAUGUCCAGGUUGAAGGUGCGGUAAAACGCACUGGAGGACCGAACCCACGUACGUUGAAAAGUGCGGGGAUGAGGUGUGGGUAGCGGAGAAAUUCCAAACGAACUUGGAGAUAGCUGGUUCUCUCCGAAAUAGCUUUAGGGCUAGCCUCGGAAUUGAGAAUGAUGGAGGUAGAGCACUGUUUGGACUAGGGGCCCAUCUCGGGUUACCGAAUUCAGAUAAACUCCGAAUGCCAUUCAUUUAUAUCCGGGAGUCAGACUGCGAGUGAUAAGAUCCGUAGUCGAAAGGGAAACAGCCCAGACCACCAGCUAAGGUCCCAAAAUAUAUGUUAAGUGGAAAAGGAUGUGGGGUUGCACAGACAACUAGGAUGUUGGCUUAGAAGCAGCCACCAUUUAAAGAGUGCGUAAUAGCUCACUAGUCGAGUGACCCUGCGCCGAAAAUGUACCGGGGCUAAACAUAUUACCGAAGCUGUGGACUACACCAUUAGGUGUAGUGGUAGGAGAGCGUUCUAAGGGCGUUGAAGGUCGAUCGUGAGGACGGCUGGAGCGCUUAGAAGUGAGAAUGCCGGUAUGAGUAGCGAAAGACAGGUGAGAAUCCUGUCCACCGUAUGACUAAGGUUUCCUGGGGAAGGCUCGUCCGCCCAGGGUUAGUCGGGACCUAAGCCGAGGCCGAUAGGCGUAGGCGAUGGACAACAGGUUGAUAUUCCUGUACCAGUUGUUUUUGUUUGAGCAAUGGAGGGACGCAGUAGGCUAAGGAAUGCAU
rnacentral:rRNA from 1 species